GACGAACGCUGGCGGCGUGCUUAACACAUGCAAGUCGAACGAAGUGGCGAACGGGUGAGUAACGCGUAAUCAACCUGCCCUUCAGAGGGGGACAACAGUUGGAAACGACUGCUAAUACCGCAUACUGUAGGAGGGGGUUGCGUCUGCUUAGCUAGUUGGGGGGGUAACGGGCAACCAAGGCGAUGAUAAGUAGCAGGGUUUAGAUGGUGAACGGCCACACUGGGACUGAGACACGGCCCAGACGCCUACGGGAGGCAGCAGUGGGGAAGCUUCCGAAAUGGGGGAAAGUCUGACGGAGCAACGCCGCGUGAGUUAUGAAGGCUUUCGGGUUGGAAAGCUCUGUUAAUCGGGACGCGGUACCGGAAUAGAAAGCCACGGCUAACUACGUGCCAGCAGCCGCGGUAAUUC
rnacentral:rRNA from 1 species